CUACCGACACCGGGAGGUGUUGGGAUGCGUAUGCAGAAGUCAGCAGACGGCGUAAUAGGUUGGGGGCAAGGCGGUGAGCCGAAGAAACCCCCGACUGAAGGCC
rnacentral:ncRNA from 1 species